rnacentral:rRNA from 1 species
CCCUAUGGGGUGCAGCAGGCGAGAAAACUUUGCAAUGUGCGAAAGCACGACAAGGUUAGUCCGAGUGAUUUCUGCUAAAGAGAUCUUUUGCAAGUUGUAAAACCACUAGUGAAUAGGGGGUGGGCAAGUUCUGGUGUCAGCCGCCGCGGUAAAACCAGCACCUCGAGUGGUCAGGAGGAUUAUUGGGCCUAAAGCAUCCGUAGCCGGCUUUGUUAGUUUUCGGUUAAAUCCAUGCGCUCAACGCAUGGGCUGUCGGAAAUACUGCAUAGCUAGGGAGUGGGAGAGGUAGACGGUACUCAGUAGGAAGGGGUAAAAUCCUUUGAUCUAUUGAUGACCACCUGUGGCGAAGGCGGUCUACCAGAACACGUUCGACAGUGAGGGAUGAAAGCUGGGGGAGCAAACCGGAUUAGAUACCCGGGUAGUCCCAGCUGUAAACGAUGCAGACUCGAUGAUGCAUUGGCAUAUAGCCAGUGCAGUGCUGCAGGGAAGCCGUUAAGUUUGCCGCCUGGGAAGUACGUACGCAAGUAUGAAACUUAAAGGAAUUGGCGGGGGAGCACCACAAGGGGUGAAGCCUGCGGUUCAAUUGGAGUCAACGCCAGAAAUCUUACCCGGAGAGACAGCAGGAUGAAGGUCAAGCUGAAGACUUUACCAGACAAGCUGAGAAGUGGUGCAUGGCCAAGGGCGAAUUC